GAGGGUGGGUUUCAGCUCCCACUUGUUUUUUUGGUCAGGUUCCCCAAGAAACAGACUCGGGAUUUGCAUGCAGGAGUCUUAUUGGGGAACGCUUUCAGGAACUACCACCCCGUAUGGGAGCGAGAGAAGCAGGACUGUGCAGAAGGAGAAGUUGAACAACUCCUGGAAAGCUCUGAAGCUGGGAUCAUCCUUCCAGAAUGUCUUGGAUUGAGACAAGGGUUUCACCAGCAACAGAGAAAGCAGAAGCCAUCCUGGGCAAACCUGGACAGGUGGUCACCGUGUGAAACCUGAAGUCCCCUUUGAUCCUCCCAUCUGGUUACAACCACCCCCAAUCAGAGCUGCCUGGACCUUGCCCGGCCUCCUCCUCACUCACCGAGCCACCGGAAUAAAGUUGGAAGUGUUUGUGCUGUACUUUAAUCAGCAUUUAAUGACCCAGUCGAAAAUUCAUUGUUUGGACCCAAGCACUGGUGGGAAAGGCAGGAGGGGAGGCCUGCCUUCCUUCCUCCCUCCCGAGCCCUACAGCAGGCCAUGGAGUGGUGAGCGAGUUCGUACAGUGCCAACCACAUUCCCAGAAACUUCCAGCAGAGGUUAAUCCUGCUCCUCUCAGGUGGGCUUGGCCCAUUCUCUAGACUUUGGAAGGUAAUGUUCUAUAGAGGCCUGUUCUGAAGCUUUACCAGGUCAAACCGGAGAAGAACCCAACAAGUAACUCAUCCCAGCCUAACUAUUCUUCAAGGGCAAUCAACCUACAGCAUCCAAGCACAGAGAAAUCAAAUCCAUGGAGAAUCUUCAAAUUAGGCUCAGAAUCCAUUUGGGUCAAUGAAUUUACUGUUAUUAAGAUCUUAGUUGUGUUCAACCAUGAUUUGACAUACCUUAGAGUGAGAAGAUAUUCUUCCUGGCCUCAGACUAGUUGAAGGUAGAGAGAGAGACAGGCCCUUGGGUGUGGGGAGACCUCUCCUGGGAUAAUACACACAAAAAACCAAGAGCUGCUCACUGUGGUGCAGGAGACAGCAGGGCCUGAAGCCAGAGGCUCUGUGUCCUUGAAUACAAUGUUUUACUCCUCUGACCCCUGUUACUGUGAUUUGGAGAGGCAGACAAUAUAGGAUGGGCUUUGCAGGCAGGGAGGUCCAGUUAUAAUCCCAGCUCUUACUAAGUUGGGUAAGACUCACUCUGAGACUUAGUUUCUUCUGUCAUCUCUCAAUAGAAUCAUAAAGGUACUUUCCUCUUAGUGUUGUUUUAAAAUUCAGUAAAAUAAUGCAGGCUUAGCACAGGGUCUGAUGUAAAUUUUCAAUGAAUUAUCGUUGUCAAUAUUGUUCUGGAAAACAAGAGGGCAUAUUAGAAGAUCAAAAGUACUGCCAAGCAUUGAAGUGCCAAUUCUAGAUCCAGUCUCAGCCCUCUGAGAAUGGAUAUCAUUGUUUUCAAGCCAUUCAGAAACCAAUGUGAAUUGAACACCUAGUAUGAGCUCUCUGAGGGAAGAGCCAAGUCAUGCAUUUUUUAUCUUAAGGGGUCUUCAAUACCUCUAGCCCAAAACAGUAUCUCCAUCAGGAUUCUUCUCUGAUAGUGUUCAUUUCUUUUUUCUCAAUGGAUGCCUUAAAAAAAAAAUCCUACAAGGAAACCUGUACUCCUCAAAUACACCACUCAGGUGACCAUUAAAUCAUUUACAUUG
ensembl:lncRNA ZNF503-AS1 ZNF503 antisense RNA 1